GCGCACGGGUGCGUAACGCGUAUGCAAUCUACCUUUUACAGAGGGAUAGCCCAGAGAAAUUUGGAUUAAUACCUCAUAGUAUGUGAGAAUCGCAUGGUUUUCAUAUUAAAGUUCCAACGGUNNNNGAUGAGCAUGCGUCCCAUUAGCUAGAUGGUAAGGUAACGGCUUACCAUGGCGACGAUGGGUAGGGGUCCUGAGAGGGAGAUCCCCCACACUGGUACUGAAACACGGACCAGACUCCUACGGGAGGCAGCAGUGAGGAAUAUUGGACAAUGGGCGCAAGCCUGAUCCAGCCAUGCCGCGUGCAGGAUGACGGUCCUAUGGAUUGUAAACUGCUUUUGUACAGGAAGAAACACUCCCUCGUGAGGGGGCUUGACGGUACUGUAAGAAUAAGGAUCGGCUAACUCCGUGCCAGCAGCCGCGGUAAUACGGAGGAUCCAAGCGUUAUCCGGAAUCAUUGGGUUUAAAGGGUCCGUAGGCGGUUUAAUAAGUCAGUGGUGAAAGCCCAUCGCUCAACGGUGGAACGGCCAUUGAUACUGUUAAACUUGAAUUAUUAGGAAGUAACUAGAAUAUGUAGUGUAGCGGUGAAAUGCUUAGAGAUUACAUGGAAUACCAAUUGCGAAGGCAGGUUACUACUAAUGGAUUGACGCUGAUGGACGAAAGCGUGGGUAGCGAACAGGAUUAGAUACCCUGGUAGUCCACGCCGUAAACGAUGGAUACUAGCUGUUGGGAGCAAUCUCAGUGGCUAAGCGAAAGUGAUAAGUAUCCCACCUGGGGAGUACGUUCGCAAGAAUGAAACUCAAAGGAAUUGACGGGGGCCCGCACAAGCGGUGGAGCAUGUGGUUUAAUUCGAUGA
rnacentral:rRNA from 1 species